AUUUUCUUAAAGGAUUUCUUGAUGCUAAUGGCUUGUAUUGCUUUCCUCAUAUCCCGUUGGAACAUUCAAAUACAUAUGAUGUAGUUUCCCUUACUUCCAAUAAUUGUACACCUAACUAUAAGUCUUUUUCCUCGUAUUCCAAUAAUUGGUCAUAGUGCAAUGACUCGCAUGUCCACACCUGUGAAUUGGUACAUACCUAUGCAGUUGAAAUAUUCAAAGUUUUGGUUCCUCCAUGAUUGAAAAUACCAGUUUGGUCCCUAUCACUGGAUGGAUUUUGUUUCAGUUACAUUUUAAACACAACUGUUAUAAUAUAAUAUGACAACAGAUGGGCAAUUGAAAUCAUCGUCAAAUAUUCAGCAACAGGCCCAACAACAAACUUUGUCGGCUGUUUUACCUGCUUCAGCUGUUGUUAAUAUUUCCCCCUGCUUCAGGUGCUUGAGCACUUCCUCCCUGGUACAUUGUAAGAAGCUAAAUACAAUGUCCAACAUGAGAAGGUACAGGAAUUCUGGUUUUAAGGAAAAUGAAAAUAAGAACAUCAACACCGCCCCAGUUGAAAAUGUUUGGCCACAACAGUCUGUAUGGCUGCUAAGGAGGUUUUUCAGCAAAUCCCUGGGACACUGUUGGUGAAAGGUUCAGUACAAGAUAAGAAUAGCCCAUUAUUAGGAGCAUUCUCAGAUUUUCGUUAAACUGGAAGAAACAUUGCGGAGUAAAUUUUGUACUAGAUCAGUAUAAAUUAUGAGAAGUUCACAAGUGCUCAUUUCUGGGGUCAGGAUUUAAAGAAAUCAAGUGAAGGUGUUGGUGUAAAAAAGGAAAUAGAAGGCAACAAUAAAACACUCAUAGUGAUUCCGCUUGUGAAAAAUUUGAUCGAUAAUGCAUGUGAUUCUGACGAUCGGUAUUCGAAUAUGUUUGACAGAAUAAUCAAGUUUGUUGUCGGUAUAUCCUGUUGAGUACGAUGCAGUUCAUUUGUUAUGGUUGCAAGUGAUUGCUGAGUCUCCUCGUGCAUUCUAACAGUCGGACAUUCCAUAGAGUUGGUGCAUCUCUUUGCCUUUAUUCUCAAACCAAAACUUUGACUGAUAUCGAGAAGGCUUGUACAAGAGCUCCUCGACUGCGUUUUGUCCUUCACGAAACACCGAGACAAUGGAGUCCCAAGCAGGGAGACUGGAUAGGAAAGGAGAAGGAUGAAAUGUUGCUUCUGCUUACAUCAGAAGUUGUAAUUACAAAACAUUGCAGUUUUAAUUCGGUUGUGCAAAAGAUGAACUGUAUGCCAACCUUGGGUCUUUGUAACAGCUAGAGUGAAGAAUGGUUAUCCAUCAGUACAACACACUUCAUGGAUGUGGAAUAUUCUUGAACCUUCGAGCGUGAUCCAUGGUAUUGACUAAACCCUGAAGAAAAGGAGAUUCCAAUUAUAGUCUUGAAGUUAAGUAGAUGCUCCUGAUUAAUACUACCUCCGUUCCUUUUUAUAAGAGACAAGUCAUUUUUUAGAUUCAUUGAAUAACUAAUGUAUUUGGUCUCUUUAUAGACUAGAUACAUUGAUUAUUCAAUGAAUCUAAAAAGUGAAUUUUCUCUUAUAAAAAGGAACGGAGAUAGUAGUAGUUUGUUGUCAUUUUCUGUGUAGUUUUUGAUAUAGAGAGAUAUGAAACACUAAUUAAGGAAGACAUGUUUCACCACUUUUUAUGAAAACUGUACAUGAGACUGGUAUAAUAUUAUAUUUGGAAAGUUACUGCAAGUAGUUUUUCUUACUUUUAAGACCAUUUGUAAGUUAGAUGUUCAUAGUUAUUGUGCUAUGACAAAUUUCUGAACAAAGCCAUUAUUUCUCAAACAUAGGAGAUUUAUAAAUAUAGCACCACAAAUUUUCCAUGAUGAUGUCUAAAAUUCAUGUAUAUGUCAUGUGAACAUGAAAUAAAUUUUUGGCUUCAUUUACAAGUUCAAAAAUAUUGAUUCCUAAGUGGUCAGAAAAGAAAUCUUUAAUCUUUAACGUGUAUUGCAGACCAUAUAUAAAUAAUUAUAUUUAAAACAUUUCAAUAUUAAAGGAAUACACCUUUCAACUAGGAUUUAAAUUACUUCAAACAUAUGGUUGUUUGGUUUUGCUAAGACAGUUGGAUAUGGGAAUGUUUUGUGUGCAGAACUUUGGGGGAUCUAUGAAGGCAUCAUGCUUACGAUGAAGGCAGGAUUUCACAAGGUAGAAGUGCAUUCUGAUUCCAAGCAAGCAGUGGAGAUCAUUCAGAGUUUUGCUGGGAGGAACCAUAGCAACUUGCAGCUUGUUACCCAGAUUCGAAGAGUGCUUGCUAAUUGUGGUGAUUUUGAUAUAUGUCAUACGCAUAGGGAAGCAAAUGUGUGUGCACAUGAGCUAGCUAAAGUUGGGAAAAGUCUUAGUGAGGGCAGUAUUGUUUUUUAUGAUAUUCCUCCUUCUGUUUUGAGUAGUUUUGAGGAUGAUUUUAUGGGGGUGUCUUCCCCUAGGUUUGCUGCUCUCUAGUUUGUUUGUUUCUUUGGGCUUAGGCCCUCUUUUAAACCAAAAAAAAAAAAAUGAUAAUUUGAAUUUAAA